rnacentral:tRNA from 1 species
GUUGUUUGAAUUGUAUUUUGAAAAUACAGAUAAGGAAUAAAAGAGUCCUAAAUAACU